rnacentral:lncRNA from 1 species
AUGGAUCACAUGAGAACAAUGGCCAGGAAUUCAAAGUAAGCUUACUCAAUAUUAGAAAGUGAAAUUAACCAGAGGAAUUUCUAAGUAAUCUCAUAGAAUUUCUACAAAAGGGAAUGGCAAUUUUGAGUAUCACUUAAGCCUAGAAAACACUAUAGCUGUAUCAUGCAAGGCCAUGCCCAUUCUUCCUAAUUCUUUUUAUCUCUUGGCCUGACACUGGAGGGGUCAGAAGCAGCAGCCAGCAAAUUGGGAGGAGAUGGUUAUGGGCUACAAAACAAACCAGGUUUCUCCUGCUAAGACCCCUGACUUUAGGCUUUCUAAUCGAAAUAGGCCUUACAUAGGGAGAAAUAAGUAGGUUUAAGUUUGAGAUAAGUUAGGAACUACACUGAGUAAGUUUUCAAUGAAAGUUUUUAGAAAGACGAGUAGGGCCUGACAAAACUUUGGGACACUCCCAGAGCAAGGGAUGUCCCAGAUUUGAAGGGAUGCUGGAUAAAAACAUAAAACUAUAAAUCCCAGUUCCCUAAAAUAAUAAUAAUAAUAAUAAAUAAAAAUUGUACCUCAUUUGCAAAUGUAACAAGUUCCAAAUCAGCUGACUUUCAUGCCAGCCCUUUAAAAGCAUGAUGUUGGGGGAUCCCUGGGUGGCUCAGUGGUUUAGCGCCUGCCUUUGGCCCAGGGUGUGAUCCUGGAGUCCCGGGAUCGAGUCCCACAUCGGGCUCCCAGCAUGGAGCCUGCUUCUCCCUCUGCCUGUGUCUCUCCCUCUCUCUCUCUCUAUGUCUAUCAUAAAUAAAUAAAUAAAUCUUUAAAAAAAAUAAAAAACAAAAAAUAAAAGCAUGAUGUUUUCUCUAGCUGGUAGCAGAGGAAAAAGUAAGACAGAUCAAAACAUGAGAAGGACUCAGUUGUCAUUGCUGGUUUGAAGAUAGAGGAACCACGCAAAAAGGCAUGAUGGUGACUUCUAGGAGCAAAGGCAGUCCCCAGGUAAGAGCAGACCCAGAAAUGGGAGCCUCCAAUCUAAAGACACUGAAAAACAGCUAUGGUUUUAAACUACUAAAGUUUAAAAAAAAAAAUUUAAAAAUAAACUACUAAAGUUUAGCUACUAAGUUUGGCUAAGUGUGGUAAGUUUGUUACGGCAGCAAUAGAAAAACGCAGUUAUUUUGACUCACUGAAAGGAGUUGAUCUGAAGGCUUGGAAUAUUUUUCUUUUGUUAGAGUGAAAGAAUACAGAAUUUGGUUUGAAUCUCUGCCACACCAUUAACUAGUUCAACCUUACCUUGAGAUUCUUUGUGUUGGUUUCUAUUUGAUAAAACAUGGAUAAUAAUAUUUAUCUUGUAACAUCAUGGUAACGAUAGACAAAAAGUAAAUACUUCGCACAAAGCUCUAAACACAAAAUGCAAUAACAUUCAUAAUUAUUAAUAUUAAUGAGGAUCAUCUCCUAAAAUAAUACACUUUCUAUCUCCCC